UGGUCUUGAACUCCUGACUUCAGGUGAUUUGCCCACCUCCGCCUCCCAAGGUGCUGGGAUUACAGGCGUGAGCCACCACACCCAGCCCAUUUCUUCCACAUUCUAUUGCGGUUUCCUGGGCAAGAAUCCUGAGAGAAGACAGCCAGGCUCACACCACCUUUUAUGACCUAAUCUUGGAAGUCCCAUAACAUAAUUUCUCCCACAUUGUAUUGGUCAGGCAGUUGCAAAGUUCAGGGAUCAGAAAUAUUGCAUUGUGCAUUUUUGGAAAAUACAACAUCUUCAGACACACAGAGUGGUGGUGAGCCAUCCAUCCAUUCUCCUCCAACCUAACAAUUUUAGGAAAGGACCUUUGAGUGUGCACGUGUGUGUGUGCAUGUGUGUUUCUGUGUGACCAUAAUCCUGUUUUGAGUUAAUUGUAGUUUUCAGUUGCUGCUAUUUUUUAAAUUCUAAAUCAUAAUUUUAUACAUUACCCACAUUAGUAUGGGUCCAUAGUUAUCAGUUUAGUUUGCUGAAGGUUAACUCUGAAGCCCAUGCUGGUUAGUCAUGCAUAUUUAUAUUAAUAGUAUUUGGCAUAUAAAUUUAUAAUAAUUGGAAAUUAAGAUGUGUCUACAAGGUAUUUUGAAUAUAAAGAGUAUUUUGAAUAUAAAGCAUCAGUGUAGGGAGCACCCCUCCCUACCCUGGGCUUGGGUUAUAGGUAAGACGCUUGCUUUAUCAAUCAGUGCUAUGGAACAGGGAAUCAUAAGAAGAGCAUGGAGAAAACCAAUGAUUCUCCACUUAACCCAACAAAAAUAAACCUUUUAAAAACACAUCUACAUGACAGCAUAUACUAUUGCUGGAUUUGGUGAAUGGCAUGUGUGAUUUUUUUCUUUAUUUUUUUUUUCUCAGGCUGGAGUGCAAUGGCAAAAUCUCGGCUCACUGCAACCUCUGCCUCCCAGGUUCAAGCGAUUCUCCUGCCUCAGCCUCCCUACUAGGGGUGCUCACUACCACACCCACCUAAUUUCUGUAUUUUUACUAGAGAUGGAGUUUCACCAUGUUGGCCAGGCUGGUCUCGAACUCCUGACCUCAGAUGAUCCACCCACCUCAGCCUCCCAAACGGUUGGGAUUACAGGCGUGAACCAACACGGCCGGCCAGCAUGUGUGAUUUGACUUUCCUUUGCAAUAGUAAGAAUGGGCUUCACUGAUCCAUCCUCUUGUCCAUUUAUUCACCCAAGCCUCUGUGAACCAGAUGAUUAGAAAAGUGAGGGCUAAAACUCAACCAAACAUAUUGUCGGGGAAUGAAAAUGUGAGUCACCAAAGAUGGUUCAAAGUAACUGGCGGGGCAGGAGGGUGAGCAAAUGCGACAUCUCCUGGGUCCCAGUUAACAGUUGUCUGCAAAUCCAAAGGUACCAACUGAUCAAUAGAAAACAGGAAGAUAAUGAUAGACACGCAGCACUCUGGCUUCCAGCAACCACACUCCUGACUGCAGAACCUCCUUAAAAGACCACCAGAAUUACCUGUUGAUGAAGCAAAACUAGGUUUAUUGAUCUGUUGCAGUCAGAGAGAGCAUCGUCUUAGCAGAGACUCUCAGAAGCACCACAAAAGUCAGAAGCAGAUAUUUAUAAGACUCAGGGGUCUGGGCUUAAGAGACUUCAGGUGGGCCUUUCAAUGUGGCAAUCUUACUGGCAUUGGGAAAAAAUUCAUGUUGUAAUAAUUUAGAAUUGAUGGGCGCAGAGAGUCUGAAUAAGUAUACAGUUAUUUGAUCAUUGAAUUUGUAUUAGUCAUUUUGACACGGCUAUAAAGAUACUACCCAAGACUAGGUAGUUUAUAAAGGAAAGAGAUUUAAUUGACUCACAUUUCUACAUGGCUGGUGAAGCCUCAGGAAACUUACAAUUAUGGUGGAAGGGGAAGCAGGCACCUCUUCACAAGGCAGCAGGAGAGAGAAGAGACAGCAUGUACAGGAGGAAAUGUCAAACACUUAUAAAACCAUCAGAUCUCAUGAAAAUUCCCUCACUAUCACAAGAACAGCAUGGGGGAAACUUCCCCCAUGAUCCAAUCACCUCCUACAAGUUCUCUCCCUCAACACCCGGGGAUUACAAUUCGAGAUGAGAUUUGGGUGGGGACACAAAGCCAAACCAUAUCAGAGCUGUUUUGCCCCAAGGGGGAAACUAUUGCUUCAAUAAAUUGGUUUUCAGAAAUGUUCUGAUAUGAGCAGAGAAGAUAUUUAUUGGUUUAUGGUCUUACCUUUCUUAGCAAGAAUUUCCUGGAGUAUAGCCCUGCCCCAAGGGUGACUAGAGGCCUA
rnacentral:lncRNA from 1 species